rnacentral:lncRNA from 1 species
UAUUUCUCACUUUUGGCCUUCCUCAUAACUUGAGGUAGAUUUGAAUUUUUAUCUGUACUUAGCCUCUUUCAUCUUAAAGAAUUUUUAUAGUGAAGGUCUAGUCUACUACCAUGAAUUCUUUUAGCUUUUAUUUACCUGAAAAUGUCUUUAUGUUUUGUUCUUCUCUAAAGUAAAGUGUCUCUGGAUAUUAAAUUUUCAGUUAAAAGUUUUGUUUUUUAGAUACUUCAUAAUGUCAUUCCACCAUCCCUGGCUCGCAUUAGUUUUGAUAUUAGUCAUUGCUUUUUUUAUUGUUCCCAUGUGUGUAAUGUGUCUUUUCUCUCUGGCUGAUUCUUAAAUUUGUUCCUUAUCUUCGGUGUUCAGAAAUGUGAUUAAAAUUUGCCUGGAUGUAGUUUUCUUUGUGUUUCUCUUGUUUGAGUUUUUUUUUUUUUUUUUGAGCUCCUUGGCUUUAUGAGUUGAUAUUUUUCAACAAGUUUGAAAUUUGGGGGGCCAUUAUGUUCUCCCCCAAUAACUCUCUCUUAUCUCUUUUUUAAAGAUUUUAUUAAUUUGAGAGAGACAGAGAAUGCACAAGUGGGGGGGAAGAGCAGAGGGAGAGGGACAAACAGACGCCCCACCUGUUGCAGAGCCCGACAUGGGAUUCAAACCUGGGACCCUGAGAUCAUGACCUGAGCUGAUGUCAGAUGCCUAACUGACUGAGCCACCCAGGUGCCCCUCUCUUUUUUUUUUUAAAUCAAAAUAUUAAAAAAAAUAAAUCAAAAUAUUUACUACUAUGCUUCUUGGUAUUGUGCAACAGGUAUUUUCAUUGAUUUUUUUUUCUUUGGCAGUGUCCAAUCUGCUGUUAAACCCAUCCAGUAAAAUUUUAAUGUCAGAUGUGGUACAUCUAGAGUUCCUAUUUAAUUCUUUCUCACAGUUUGAUAGAGAAACUGAAAUCCCCACAUGUUCUCUCACUGUGGCCACUUUUCUUAAUAUUUAUUUGUAAUGGCUAUUUUAUAACCCUUACCCACUAAUUACAAUAUCUUUGUGAUCUCUGAAUUUGUCUCCUGCUUAUAUCUCAGAUUUCUCUGUUUAUUCACACAUACUAUAACUUUUUUUAAAUGUAUACUUGGCAUCAUGAAUGCUGUCGUUUUUUAAAGUCUGGAUUUGGUUGUCCUCCUAUAAAAAGUACUGGAUUUUAUUUUGGCUAGCAGAUAAAUUUUGGUAGAUCAGCUCGAACUUGUUGAAGCUUGCCUUUAGACUUGCCUAGGGUAAGUCUCUAGUAGCCCUUCCUCUAGGACUAGAGUACUCUAUCCCUCUAUCCCCAGGCAUGCUCUUUUUAGGGUCUCAACUGAAUGACCUAAGUACUGAGCAAAAGCUCUUCUUUUUCGCCAGUUGAAUCUACUAUGUCUCUUCCCUCUUCCAUAUUCCUAGGAGCUGUUCUCUGCUAGACCUCACAGAGUUCCACCCUAUGCCUAUACAGCUUGCAUUUGACCAAAGAAUCAAGAGUUCACCUAUGCAGAUUUCUGAAACUCCUGUUCUGCUCAGGUCACUCUCUCCAGUAAAUUCCGGCCAAUUUAACAAUCCAGAAGUCCAAUCUCUGUUUCCUAAGCAGAGCAAGAUUGCUAUUCACUGUUUGGGUUACACCACUGUGCUAUAGUCUAGAAAGUUCACCGAAGCAGAAAGCAGAGUAAAUAUGGAGUUUACCUCAUGUAUCUCCUCUCAAAGAUCAAAACCCUGUUUUCUCUACUGCCUUAAAUCAGUUGCUUCAUAUAUUUUGUCCAGUUUGAUAGUUGUUUAUGAUAGAAAGGUAAAUCUGAUAGCCAUACUUCUGCCAUGAUCAGAACCAGAAUCUUUAAACUUUUAUGCUUUAAUAUUAUCAAAGAUUUCCUUGAGGAUGCUCUUAAAGGCCCUUGCUAAUCAAUUCUGGUAUCUUUAAUGUGGUUGGUCUCUCCCGUGUAUUUUGGGACAUAGACACCUUUUAGAAUCUAAUGCAAGUUCAAGGAACUUUCUUCAGAAAAAAAAUGUGCAUGGUCUUCAUUUUGUAGAAAAUGCCAGAGAUUCCAUUGAUUCCCUCAAAGCCCAACUGUGAAUCAUUGUUAUCAACAGACUGAGAAUUAAGAAACCCUGCUCGAUAUCCUUUCUGCAGCUAUGAAUAUGUGGUGGUUCUGUUUUGUUUCCAAAAAUGAAAACAAGCUGGUAAUAGCAGCAUAGAAAGUUUAGAUAAAUUUUCUAGAACAUAAAGGGUUUUGGAUACCAGAACAAAUAUAUUUCUGCGCACACCUCAGCAAGUUUAUGAUUCACUUUCUGACCUUAGGAAAAGGUUGAAGAUUUUUCAAAAUCAUUUCCUAAGUGAGCCUAAGCUUUAUAUCUACCAUAUUGUGCCUUCACUUCCACUUAUCUUAUCUGUGAAAAUUGAUCCAAGUGAUUCUUGUAUGGAAAUCAACUGGGGGUUUUUUGGUAAAAAUGGUUGGUCAUUAUAUAGUUAACCUAUUUAAUUAUGUGCUUAUGAGUUCUUCUAUGAAUAAAAAAGGGAAAUGCGUCACUGGGGUGCAGUUAAAAACUUAUCUUCCCAUCAGUUUUGCCAGAAGCUGACUCUGAGAUAAGAACUCAAAUACAAGAAAUGUAUUUUGGAGGUAAUCCCAGGGAACAUUUGAGAUGCAUAGGGAAGUGAGAAAGGACAGGGAAGAAAGCCAAGAAAGAGAUUAUGGUGAAGCAAAUUACUACUUUGGAAAGCUGGGGUUUAAUCCCACUGGAAAGCUCUGGGAGCCAGUGUAAAACAAUCCUCAGAAACCUCACAUCCAAGGGGCAAAAGAGCUGGGUUAUCUAUCCACCAAUUCCCACUAGGUAGUGGUUGAAGGCUGCCCCCAGAGAGUGUUUAUUAUAUGGCAUGUCAGGCCUACUGUAUGUGGGUAGACAGAGGGAUUUGGUGGCCAGAGAGAUCCUUGAAAGAUCACAGGUGCUGGCAGUUGAAAGGCAAGCUGUCACACACAUACAUCAGUGCUGAGGGAAUGUGUAUAGGGCAGUAACAGCAGCUGCUAUCCCCUUCAAGCCAAAACAAUAACUAGCGCUGAUGACACUUAGAGUAAAUAGCCAUGUUUUCCCCCAUUUGAUAGUUUGAUUUUGUUCUGUGAGAUGAUGGAUGCCUCUCUUGGAGCCCCAAAGACUUGGUAUCUGUCAAACAGCAUACGCUUUCUAAUAUAUAUCAUAUUCAGAAAAUAAUGUUCAAAUUUGCUGAUUUGCUUUGGUUUCUAUAUUACUUCCCUCUGGCUAUGGCAGCUAGAGCAUCAUCAGAACAUGUUUUAAUAAUAAACAAAUAAAAGUCCCUGCCAAAUGUAAUUAAUUUUCUCUCCUAUGAAUUUUUUUUCUGGGGUGAGGUCACCAUAGGAUUCUACAUGACAAGGAAAAUGAAUGUAGUCUUUUGGUAACUGAUUUAGUUCAUCCUGUAAAUUGAAAUCUAGAGUAACUUCAGAGGGAAAAUGUUUUCUUGGUACGCUUUGCUUCGUUUGAAAUAGCUACUUAAUAAUGGUUAGUGCUCUUUGAGUGCCAGGCUCUGUUCUAAGUCCUUUGUGUAUAUUAAUUCACAUAAGAUUCAUACAGCCCUAGGAGGAAUAUAUUAUCAUCAGUCAUAUAUUAUAACUAAAGACAAAGAGUCAGGAAAAACUACUUUCUUUACCUGGUAAGGUCACAAAAAUGUUAAGUAGAAAAUUCUAGAAUUGGGGCACCUGGGUGUCUCAGUUGGUUAAGCAUCUGACUCUUGGUUUUGGUCAUGACCUCAUGAGUUGUGGGAUAUAUCUGGGCUCAUCACUCAGCGAGGAGUCUGCUUGAAAGAUUCUCUCCCUCUGCCACUCCCCCUAACUCACAUGCUCGCUCGCUCUCUCUCUCUUUCUCUCUCUCUCAAAAUAAAUCUUAACAAAAAAAAA